rnacentral:rRNA from 1 species
CCCUUAGAUGUUCUGGGCUGCACGCGCGCUACACUGAAGCGUUCAACGAGUAUUCACCUUGCCCGGGAGGGUUGGGUAAUCUUUUGAAAACGCUUCGUGAUGGGGAUAGAUUAUUGCAAUUAUUAAUCUUCAACGAGGAAUUCCUAGUAAGCGCGAGUCAUCAGCUCGUGCUGAUUACGUCCCUGCCCUUUGUACACACCGCCCGUCGCUCCUACCGAUUGAGUGCUCAGGUGAAUAAUUCGGACUGCAGCAAUGUUUGGAUCCCGAACGUUGCAGCGGAAAGUUUAGUGAACCUUAUCACUUAGAGGAAGGAGAAGUCGUAACA